rnacentral:rRNA from 1 species
ACCCCGGCGCGGGGAGUGAAAAAGAACCUGAAACCGUGUACGUACACGCCGUGGGAGCACCUUCGGGUGUGACUGCGUACCUUUUGUAUAAUGGGUCAGCGACUUAUAUUCUGUAGCAAGGUUAACCGUAUAGGGGAGCCGCAGGGAAACCGAGUCUUAACUGGGCGUUAAGUUGCAGGGUAUAGACCCGAAACCCGGUGAUCUAGCCAUGGGCAGGUUGAAGGUUGGGUAACACUAACUGGAGGACCGAACCGACUAAUGUUGAAAAAUUAGCGGAUGACUUGUGGCUGGGGGUGAAAGGCCAAUCAAACCGGGAGAUAGCUGGUUCUCCCCGAAAGCUAUUUAGGUAGCGCCUCGUGAAUUCAUCUCCGGGGGUAGAGCACUGUUUCGGCAAGGGGGUCAUCCCGACUUACCAACCCGAUGCAAACUACGAAUACCGAAGAAUGUUAUCACGGGAGACACACGGCGGGUGCU